rnacentral:rRNA from 1 species
CUGGCUCAGGACGAACGCUGGCGGCGUGCCUAAUGCAUGCAAGUCGGACGGGGUAGCUUCGGUUGCCCCGUGGCGCACGGCUGAGUAGCACGUGGGAACCUGCCCGCCGGUGGGGGAUAACGCCGCGAAAGCGGCGCUAAUCCCGCCUACGGUCUGCGGACGAAAGCGCGCAAGCGCGCCGGCGGAGGGGCCUGCGGCCCAUCAGGUGGUUGGUGGGGUAAUGGCCUACCAAGCCGAUGACGGGUAGCUGGUCUGUGAGGACGACCAGCCAGACUGGGACUGAGACACGGCCCAGACUCCUACGGGAGGCAGCAGCAAGGAAUUUUCGGCAAUGGGCGCAAGCCUGACCGAGCAACGCCGCGUGCGGGAUGACGGCCUUCGGGUUGUAAACCGCUUUUGCGGGGGGACGACGGGUGACGGGUACCCCGCGAAUCAGCCCCGGGCUAACUCUGUGCCAGCCCGCCGCCGUAAC